rnacentral:snRNA from 1 species
GUUAGUGCGGACUAAUCCGUCAA